UCAGUUUGUGUUUUGUUUUUU
rnacentral:miRNA from 2 species